CUAAUGCUCGAUCUUUCUUUAGAAAAUCCAUUCUAUAGCUUAUUCUUUUGUCAUUGUCAUAAUCAACCAAUCACAGAACAUCUUCCUAGAGCUUCGUGCCGAUCCCAUAUAUUCCAUCAGCCUUAACAAAGACAGAAAAAGUUUCGUUACCAUGGGAUUCCUCCACGCCUUCGAUCAAUCCAGUGUGAUCCCAAUCAGGUCCAGUGUUUCUGGAAGGUGUACCUUCGGAAGUUCGUGCCCAUUCAAAGUCAUCAAAAGACGACUGUCGCCAUCCACAUGUGUUGUCUGUAAAGUCACAGUC
rnacentral:lncRNA from 1 species